rnacentral:rRNA from 1 species
GUGGGGAAUCUUCCGCAAUGGACGAAAGUCUGACGGGGCAACGCCGCGUGAGUGAUGAAGGUCUUCGGAUUGUAAAGCUCUGUUAAUCGGGACGAAAGAGCCUAGUGUGAAUAAUGCUAGGAAGUGACGGUACCGGAAUAGAAAGCCACGGCUAACUACGUGCCAGCAGCCGCGGUAAUACGUAGGUGGCAAGCGUUGUCCGGAAUUAUUGGGCGUAAAGCGCGCGCAGGCGGAUCUGCCAGUCUGUCUUAAAAGUUCGGGGCUUAACCCCGUGAUGGGAUGGAAACUACAGAUCUAGAGUAUCGGAGAGGAAAGUGGAAUUCCUAGUGUAGCGGUGAAAUGCGUAGAUAUUAGGAAGAACACCAGUGGCGAAGGCGACUUUCUGGACGAAAACUGACGCUGAGGCGCGAAAGCCAGGGGAGCGAACGGGAUUAGAUACCCCUGUAGUCC